rnacentral:rRNA from 1 species
UACGGAGGGUGCAAGCGUUAUCCGGAGUUACUGGGCGUAAAGGGUGCGUAGGCGGCCCUGUAAGUAUGGUGUGAAAUCUCCCGGCUUAACUGGGAGGGUGCGCUAUAGACUGCGGGGCUCGAGUGUGGGAGAGGAAAGUGGAAUUCCUGGUGUAGCGGUGAAAUGCGUAGAUAUCAGGAGGAACACCGGUGGUGUAAACGGCUUUCUGGACCAUAACUGACGCUGAGGCACGAAAGCGUGGGUAGCAAACAGG